rnacentral:misc_RNA from 12 species
UUCAAAUGGAGAGGGAGAGAGAGAGAGUGAGAGAGAGGAAGCGAUUCAUUCUUUUUUUUCUCUCUCUCUCUCUCUCUCUCUCUCGCUCUAUUUUAUAU